ACGGGUGAGUAACGCGUGGGUAACCUGCCUCACACAGGGGGAUAACAGUUGGAAACGACCGCUAAUACCGCAUAACCCGCUGGUAUCGCAUGAUACUGACGGAAAAGAUUUUAUCGGUGUGAGAUGGACCCGCGUCUGAUUAGCCAGUUGGCAGGGUAACGGCCUACCAAAGCGACGAUCAGUAGCCGGCCUGAGAGGGUGAACGGCCACAUUGGGACUGAGACACGGCCCAAACUCCUACGGGAGGCAGCAGUGGGGAAUAUUGCACAAUGGGGGAAACCCUGAUGCAGCGGCGCCGCGUGAGUGAAGAAGUAUCUCGGUAUGUAAAGCUCUAUCAGCAGGGAAGAAAGAAAUGACGGUACCUGAGUAAGAAGCCCCGGCUAACUACGUGCCAGCAGCCGCGGUAAUACGUAGGGGGCAAGCGUUAUCCGGAAUUACUGGGUGUAAAGGGAGCGUAGACGGUGAAGUAAGUCUGGAGUGAAAGGCGGGGGCCCAACCCCCGGACUGCUCUGGAAACUAUUUGACUGGAGUGCAGGAGAGGUAAGCGGAAUUCCUAGUGUAGCGGUGAAAUGCGUAGAUAUUAGGAGGAACACCAGUGGCGGAGGCGGCUUACUGGACGGUAACUGACGCUGAGGCUCGAGAGCGUGGGGAGCAAACAGGAUUAGAUACCCUGGUAGUCCACGCCGUAAA
rnacentral:rRNA from 1 species